GUGCUCGCUUCAGCAGCACAUAUACUAAAAUUGGAACGAUAGAGAAGAUUAGCAUGGCCCCUGUGCAAGGAUGACACGCAAAUUCGUGAAGCAUUCCAUAUUUUU
ensembl:snRNA U6 U6 spliceosomal RNA